rnacentral:rRNA from 1 species
UACGUAGGGGGCAAGCGUUGUCCGGAUUUACUGGGCGUAAAGCGCACGUAGGCGGCUUUUUAAGUCAGAGGUGAAAGCCCGGGGCUCAACUCCGGAAUUGCCUUUGAGACUGGAAGGCUUGAACGUCGGAGAGGUGAGUGGAAUUCCGAGUGUAGAGGUGAAAUUCGUAGAUAUCGGAAGGAACAUCAGUGGCGAAAGCGACUUCCUGGACCAGUACCGACGUCAGGCACGAAAGCGUGGGGAGCAAACAGG